rnacentral:rRNA from 1 species
UACGUAGGGGGCAAGCGUUGGUCCGGAUUUAUUGGGCGUAAAGAGCGUGUAGGCGGCCAGGUAGGUCAGCUGUGAAAACUCGAGGCUCAACCUCGAGACGCCGGUUGAAACCAUCUGGCUAGAGUCCGGAAGAGGAGAGUGGAAUUCCUGGUGUAGCGGUGAAAUGCGCAGAUAUCAGGAAGAACACCCGUGGCUAAGGCGGCUCUCUAGUACGGUACUGACGCUGAGACGCGAAAAGCGUGGGGAGCGAACAGG